GUCCUUCAUCAACAUGAGGAAAAGCGUUAUUGCAUUGACUCUUCUUUGCCUGGUGGUCGUUUCGUCCGAACAGUGCAACUAUAAUCACAAGUGUACAUCGCACUCUACGUGUGGAUACAGGAGAUAUUGUGAACUUAUCCCUCCCGCUAAAAUUGGCUACUGCUGUUUUCAUCAACAUGGAGAUGAAGAAGGCGACUGGGAUUAUAAGUAAAAUAAGGAGGAGGAUUGGGAAGAUUAUGAUAAAGAGGAUACGGAGAAUACGAGAAUACAGAUAUAUUAGUACAAAGACGACCCCCUAAAAAAACCCCCAGAUUAUUGACAUGAUGUGUUUCAAAUGGAUAGAGAUAUCAAAGAAUAUAAUUUUCAGGGAAUAAUGUUCAAAAAAAUAUGAUCAAUGUAAUUGACUAAAAUCCGGCAUAUAACAAUGUUAGUUUUUUAAGAUUGUACAGUUUCUUCCAAUUAUUAUUAAAUGAUUGUAGUACUUCA